AGUAACGGCGAGUGAAGCGGCAACAGCUCAAAUUUGAAAUCUGGCUUCGGCCCGAGUUGUAAUUUGUAGAGGAUGCUUUUGGCGCGGCCCCUUCUGAGUUCCCUGGAACGGGACGCCAUAGAGUGUGAGAGCCCCGUAUAGUUGGAUGCCAAGCCUUUGUAAAGCUCCUUCAACGAGUCGAGUUGUUUGGGA
rnacentral:rRNA from 1 species